rnacentral:lncRNA from 1 species
UGAGUCGAGCAUCGAUGUCGACGGAACCUCCAAUAGUGUUUACCCCCGGAUUUUUCUUUUCAGUUUUCUUGGGGGUUGCCACGGUGCUUAGAUUUUUUGCCGCAGCCUCGAAGCAUCUCCUCGCAGCAGCUAUGUCGCCGUUGAUGGUGGCGACCUGGCCGUCCGGUGUGUAGUAUUUCAGCUUCAAGUGAACGGUGGACGACACAGCAAACAACUCCGCUAAGGUAGUUCUGCCGAUGAUGCAGUUGUACAGCGAAGGACAGUCGACGACCAUGAAUUGUGUCCUCACGGAUUUCAUAGCCUUUUCCUCGCCGAAGGUGACGAUGAGGUCC